CCAGCCCCCGCGCCCUGACCCUCCUGGUCUGUGAAAAAACUGUCUCCCAUGAAGAACCAGUCCCCGGGGCCAAAAAAGAUUGGAGACUACUGCCUCAAGGCAUAGCAAAGCCACCAGAUACAAGAAACCUGGAUCUCUGAGUCACCACUUGGAGGAGAACUGCCCAGGAAUGCUAUCCCACCAAGAACAUCUGCACUGAAGCUUAUAUAAGAAAGAUAUUGUUUUAUUGUGUUAAGCCACUAAAAUGUUGAGAUUAUUUGCUGGUUAACCAGCCGUGCCUGAAAUGGAUGGUUGGUGGUUUAGUCGCUAACUCAUGUCCAACUCUUGCGACCCCAUGGACUGUAGCCCUCCAGGCUGCUCUGUCCAUAGGAUUUCUUGGGCAAGAAUCCUGAAGUGGGUUGCCAUUUCCUUCUCCAGGGGAUCUUCCCACCCCAGGAACUGAAUCCGGGUCUCUUGCAUUGCAGGCAGAGUCUCAACCAACUGAGCUACAAGGGAAGUCGAUACGGAUGGGUUUAAUAAAAUCUUGGGCAUACGUAGAUGACACUUCUAUCAAAAUGAUCAGCAGAUGUUACCAAAUCAGCAUCCCACAAAAAGUAAGUCCUUUUGAAGUCCCAUCAACUGUUCAUGUGGUGAGGACCAAAGAGGAACUUUCAUCCCAAUGGUGAGAUGUUUCCACUCUCCAGACUUAUAAGGACUACCCUAACUUUGCAAACAACCGCUCAAGUCUGUGAUGAAUUGCCCCUCAGUGGUGGCAGGAAAAGUUCACACCCGUGAUCGUCACGCUCAUCAGACGCAAGAUUUACACAGCGCUUUGUACUUUACACCAUAUCUCACUGGAUC
ensembl:lncRNA